rnacentral:rRNA from 1 species
AGAGUUUGAUCCUGGCUCAGAACGAACGCUGGCGGCGCGUUUUAAGCAUGCAAGUUGAUCGGUAACAGGUCCUUCGGGAUGCUGACGAGAAGCGCACGGGUGAGUAACGCGUAGGUAUCUACCCUUUAGUUUGGAAUAACUACUGGAAACAGUAGCUAAUACCGAAUAAUCUCUUUUUAGAGUAAAGCAGCAAUGCGCUAAAGGAUGAGCCUGCGUCCCAUUAGUUAGUUGGUGGGGUAAUAGCCUACCAAGGCGACGAUGGGUAGCCGGCCUGAGAGGGUGAACGGCCACAUUGGGACUGAGACACGGCCCAGACUCCUACGGGAGGCAGCAGCUAAGAAUCUUCCGCAAUGGACGCAAGUCUGACGGAGCGACGCCGCGUGAAUGAUGAAGGCCCUAUCGGGUUGUAAAAUUCUUUUCUAUAGGAAGAAAAUCUAUGUAUGUAGAGAUGACGGUACUAUAGGAAUAAGCCCCGGCUAAUUACGUGCCAGCAGCCGCGGUAAUACGUAAGGGGCAAGCGUUGUUCGGAAUUAUUGGGCGUAAAGGGUGCGUAGGCGGCGUGCUAAGUGAGGUGUGAAACUUCCGGGCUUAACCCGGAACUUGCGCUUCAAACUGGUAUGCUUGAGUGCAGGAGAGGAAAACGGAAUUCCUGGUGUAGGGGUGAAAUCUAUAGAUAUCAGGAAGAACACCGAAAGCGAAGGCAGUUUUCUGGUCUGACACUGACGCUGAAGCACGAAAGCUAGGGUAGCAAACGGGAUUAGAUACCCCGGUAGUCCUAGCCGUAAACGUUGUAUACUAGGUGUAUGAAACAUGUGAUUUCAUGUGCCGUAGCUAACGCAUUAAGUAUACCGCCUGGGGAGUAUGCACGCAAGUGUGAAACUCAAAGGAAUUGACGGGGGCCCGCACAAGCGGUGGAGCAUGUGGUUUAAUUCGAAAAUACGCGCAGAACCUUACCUGGGCUUGACAUGUAAUGGAUGUAUGUUGAAAGAUAUAGUCCCUUCGGGGCCGUUACACAGGUGCUGCAUGGCUGUCGUCAGCUCGUGUCGUGAGAUGUUGGGUUAAGUCCCGCAACGAGCGCAACCCUCAUGGUUUGUUAUCAUCAAGUAAUGUUGGAGACUCAAGCCAAACUGCCGGUUGAAAACCGGAGGAAGGUGGGGAUGACGUCAAGUCCUCAUGGCCUUUAUGUCCAGGGCUACACACGUGCUACAAUGGGUAAAACAAAGGGCCGCGAAAUCGCGAGAUGGAGCAAAUCUCAGAAAUUUACCCUAAGUCCGGAUUGGAGUCUGAAACUCGACUCCAUGAAGUCGGAAUCGCUAGUAAUCGCAGAUCAGCAUGCUGCGGUGAAUACGUUCCCGGGCCUUGUACACACCGCCCGUCACACCACCCGAGUUGGUCUUACCCGAAGUCGCUGAUUCAACCCUUUUAGGGAGAUAGGUGCCGAAGGUAGGGCUGAUAAGGGGGGUGAAGUCGGAACAAGGUA